rnacentral:rRNA from 1 species
GACGAACGCUGGCGGCGUGCUUAACACAUGCAAGUCGAACGGAAAGGCCCUGCUUUUGUGGGGUGCUCGAGUGGCGAACGGGUGAGUAACACGUGAGUAACCUGCCCUUGACUUUGGGAUAACUUCAGGAAACUGGGGCUAAUACCGGAUAGGAGCUCCUGCUGCAUGGUGGGGGUUGGAAAGUUUCGGCGGUUGGGGAUGGACUCGCGGCUUAUCAGCUUGUUGGUGGGGUAGUGGCUUACCAAGGCUUUGACGGGUAGCCGGCCUGAGAGGGUGACCGGCCACAUUGGGACUGGGAUGCGGCCCAGACUCCUACGGGAGGCAGCAGUGGGGAAGAUUGCACAAUGGGCGGAAGCCUGAUGCAGCAACGCCGCGUGCGGGAUGACGGCCUUCGGGUUGUAAACCGCCUUCGCCUGUGACGAAGCGUGAGUGACGGUAAUGGGUAAAGAAGCACCGGCUAACUACGUG